rnacentral:siRNA from 1 species
UUGGCCCCUAUGCGAUUUUCGCUG